CGAGCGCCGCCGCCUCACGCCAGGCGGUAAUGGCGGCUCAGUCACAGGGGAGAAAGAGAACGAGCCGCCCUUCGCAAACUCCUGGGGAGCAGCCGGGUUCAGUGCCACUCCACGGGGUUAAAGAGACUGUAGCAGGAACUUCAGAGUGGCAGCUGGAGCAGCAGAGGGACUGAACUGCAAGACGCACAGAAAAUUCUUACAGCUUCCAGAAUCCACUGGAUCUCAGCAGAGUAUCCCAGCUGUUAGCCAUUUACAGAGAAGUGGUCUUUCUACAGUUUGAUGCAGCAAUCAGGAAUCAGUUAUGGCUUGCUCGAGACUUUGAAGAAUACCAGUAUUAGUUUGUCCUUGAAGAGCCAAAACUACUGUGUUACUAGACCUUUGAAAGUCUACAUAAGUAUCAGCUGAUUCUUCUUUAUCCAGCAUUGCUUUUCUUCUAAGUGUUUGAUCUUCUCCUGAAUUUGAAGGCAAGAAUGAUUAAUCGCGCCUCAAUUUGUCAUGCUGAAUCAGAAGUCUGGAGGAGCUCACAACUGUAAUGUGGGGAUAAAACUGGAUUGUAGGAAAUUCUAAAGCCCAGACUGAAAAAAGACUCAUGCACACAAAGCAGGGAGCAGCGGGAUUGUACUGCAUUUGAAUCUACAGAGAGAAACAAGACAUUCAGUACAGCAAAGGGAGCUACACAUUUAGCCGGACUGUCACAUCAUUGAGGAAUUCUCUGUCUUCAAAACAGGGACACUGGUUCAUUCAAAUUGCUGUGAGGGCAACCUUCUACAACCAAAGAAAGAGAUGCUGUCAGAACACCUUCAAAGAGGAAAAAGAAAAAGCAGAUCAAAGCAUUUUUCAGAAAGAAAUACAAAGAUACCUAUCUUCUGGCCUGACUUACCGGGCAUGCACAAUUUAUAGUGGCUUUUUUGAUAACUGAAAACAAAGUCUAACAUGAGCCAAAGACUGAUUCAGUCUUUAUCUAACAUAAGUUCUAAAGAACUGCCCCAACACAGGCAAUACUGAGAAGCUCCCAAAAUUCUGGCUGCUGCCUUGUCUACUUGAGCCAAGUUUUGCUAGCUAAUGGUUAUGUGAGAAGCCAUUUUUGUGACACAAUCCAAACUGGUGUAUUUUUUCCCCUUUCACUUUCCUUUGAGAACUGGGAGAAAAGCUUGGUCAGCUGUACUAGCUAUGCUGCAACACUCAGCCUUAUUCCCAGCAGACAAAGAACAGCCCUUCCACAGAGGAAAAAAAAGAAAUAAAUAAUGUUGUGGGCAAACGGCAUUGUUGUUUUGGGAACACCCAGUCUCUAGCAUCCUGACACAACCACUUUAAUCAGCCUGAAACACAUGACAAUGCUCAGGACAUAUCUUAGCAGCUGAUACUCCCAUGUCUCUUCUAAUAUAAGUGGGUUAGACAUGAAAUGGUGGCAGCUGCAAAACUAAUAAGAAGUGAAACCUCACUGAAUCAAUAAAGCAUGUCAAAGUGUUUUUUAAGUUUUGUCAACUUCCACUUUAAGUAAGUUCAGAGCAAAUGGCAAAAAUUUAUUAGAGAAAUUAAGGAACCUGGGAGUGUUUUGAAAAACUGGCACAGCCAAAUCCACUGGAGGCAGUUUGUUGUACAAACUGUGAGAUACACACUGGCAGGCUCAGAACUGGAUACAUAAAGGUUAAAUUUCCAGUCUCUUCUUUGAUACUUUUGUAGCAAAGCCCAUCCAUUCCUGAGUAUCAAGUCUUACGCAGAACUUUCAUACAAUCAUUGUUUUUCAUUCUUGGAAGAAAAGGAAAAGGCAUUCUGUUUUCUCAUGACACCAUAUGUACUGUCAAGUAGGAUAAAACCUGGCAUUUUAAUAAAAACAACCCCAAACCACAAGCAACCCAACAAAUGCCCAAAACUCCUAAGACUUUUCACUGUGUCAGCAUUUCACUUCUAAGCAUUCACACUAAUAUUUCUCUAGUUCCUGUUUGCUACAGAGAAAAGACAGAACAAAAAAACAAACAAAAAAAAAAAAGAGGAAGAAAGAAAGUGGAAUGAGUUACACAAGUACUUUGUGAGCAAGGCAAAGAAACAAACUAGUGGAAAAAAAAGUGAUUUUUAAACAAUUUUUUAGGGAAUAGAUUCUAACCUGGCAGUGUAUCAAGCAUGCAAACUUGAGUCAAAAUAUUAUUAAGAGUUUUGCUGUUUUCUUCAAUGAAUACAGCAGACCAAAUUCCUCAUCCAACUGGGCCUUCAUCCAAAAGCACAUGAUACACUCACAAUCAACCCUUGGUGGGGAAAUCAACUUGGUGUAAAUUGCUUUAACCUCUACGUGCAGAUGAUAACUGAACUUUAGAGGAGCAAGACUGCAAAUUCCUACCUAGAAAUAAUUACUAUCUUAGCAUGAAAACAUUUAGCCUGUAAUAUGGUGCUAUCAAAAUAAUUACAUUUCUAUAUCUUUAAUCAGUUCAAAGUAAUUAAACAUAAUCUUUUUGUAAUGAGCAUCAAACAAAACCCAAAUACUAUAAAUGAUCACUAAUACACUUCCUCACUUCACCCAUGUUCUGUUCCUCUUCUUUCAUUUACCUUCUGUUACAUUUGGGGUUUGUCCCUCAUCUCCUCUCUCUUUAUUGUAUUACAUGAUCCUAUAGCUUUGUUCCUUGCCCUUUGCCAUUUGGGAUUCUUUUUACCCUACUCCCUCUUCUAGCACAAAAAGCUAGGAUUUUUUCAAAGUAAAAAUACCCACUUCCCCCCCACCCCCCACCCAAGAUUAACAAUCAAGUUUAUUCCUUUUAUACUUAAAAUCCAGAGAUGCUUCUUGCCCUUGGUAUACUGACUGAUGUGGAAAUUGAAGGUGCUCUCCUCAUACUCUACAUGAAUGUAAAAGGCUGCUUUUUCUGUCCUCUGUUAUUUCCUGCUGAUGCCAUCACAGUCUUCCAUAUGGAGUUUCUUUAGUUUGGUGUGUCUUGAUAGAUUGGAAGGCAGGAAGAAAUUACUGGCUUUGGCUAUAUACCCUUGCAAAAAAAAAAAAAAAAGGAAGGUUUGCUGUUGUGUAAAGGGAAGGUUUUGAAUGGUAACUGACUCCAGUAUAAAAGACUGUAUCUGUGCACAGGCAGAUUAAUUAGAUAUUAGAAAGGCAAAUGCAAAAAGGAAAAGGCACAUUAGGGUAGGGCAGGGCAAAUAUAAGGGUGGGUUGAAAUGACAAUCAUAGUGAAGAAAUAUAAGAAGGUAGGGGAUGAUUAUUGCAGGUGUUGACUCAUUCACAGUAAACACUUUUACUGCAUGAUAAUUUUCACCUUUUAUGUCUCAAAUAUUUAAUGGUAUCACUGAAAGAUGGUUUUGAACGUUGCAACUUGCCCUCUAGGCAGAUGAAACACACAGAUUGUGCCCCCACUGUUGCUUUGGAAUUUAUUUUUAAAGUAAACUUCUGUUUUUACCAAUACUUUCUCAGGGAAAGUGUCAGUCUCUUCAUCCACUAUCCUUUAACCUAGCCUGAAGAUGGAAUGGGAGGUAGAUUUUAGACAGAUAACCACAAAAGCUUGACAUGGAUGAGCAGAGAAACACAAAGAGGGUGAUUAUUCAUAGGAUUUGUCUCUUUUUACCAACUACCACGCCUACAUUUUUUUCAUGUAUUCCUGUGCUGCCGAUAGCUAGGCACCUGGCAAGGAACAAAAACUCCAUUCUGCAUUUGUACGUCAUGAAGCCUAAGAAACAGAAUGAGGAAAAAAAAAAGUUAGCAAGGAAAAGAAAAAAUUAGUUUCACUCCAGGCAAGAAAUGAUUCCCAAAAUCCUAUUUUGUCUGAAAUAGUUGCCUUUUAAUAUACAGAAAAAAUGGAAGCAACUCCUCGAGUAAUUCUUCAAUCUUAUUUUGGAGACCUAUUUUGCUGAAGAAUGGUUUUUAAAAAUAUCACCUGUUUACAUGACCCAGAAUAAUCACAGCAGUUCUAACAUUCACGUUGCACAUCCUGAACAGGCACAAUAUUCUAGGUAUUAAUGCCAAAUAGUUUGUAUUUCAUAUGGUAUAAUCAGUAUUAAAAAAUGUAGAAAUAGUUUUAUCACUACUUCUGCCCUGAGUUGUCUGGGGAAAGUUAAAACUGUCAAAGGCAUUACUUGUUUCAUAUAAUCUGUAUAUUUAAACUUGCAUGGCUUUGGAGAUACAGAAAAAGCAAAUCUGAAUAAGAUGCUACAAAAUCCUGUGCAACAUUGCAGGCAGAAAACUAACUUCAAUUGAUUAUAAAGUUUUUAAUAGGCAUUUCUUCCCUAUUUAUUAUAUUCAGUUUCUGAAUGCAAAUAGUUAUGCAUAUAUGAAGGAAAUUUAGUGGGUCUCUAGGUUCUUGACUCCAUUUCUUGUCAUUCUGUGUGAUUUUAAUAAAUCAGAGGGUUGGGACUAAUAAGGGACUGAUGUUUCAGGAUACAAAAGCCUUUCAGCCUUGGGGCUGAGCGUGCUAACGACAGGCUUAGUUCCCUGCAUGAAAAGAAAUGCAGGUAUAGAUCCAAAACAAGCAGCACACUCAGUGAGGAGCUAACAAGAGCUUUGUUUCAGGGUGAGGAAACUCUAUGAACAUAGACGUGGGUGAAGUCCCACCCUGGUGCUUGGCACCUUUAUCUUCUUUGGACUCAGAAUUUGGAGUCCUCUUCUGGCAGGGAGUGCCAAAAUCUGUUCUUUAAAACAAUGAAUAAAGAGUCCCUGUAGCUUUUCUGGUCUGUGACUUCAGUUCAUGUGGCUGCUGGUCACAGCAUUUUUCUUUGUGUUAUUGCUGGAAAACAGCAAGGUCGGUGUUAACAGCCUGCCAAAGGCGCUUAAAGGGCCUUUUGGGCUGUCAGCAGAUAUGAAAUUCCCAAUAAGCAACAUUCCUUUUCUUUUAAAGUGCAGCUGGAGGAAACAGUGUCCACCUUCUCUAUGCUGCUACCCAGUGGUCAGAGCAUUGGCCAGGAAGUGGGAGUUCCUGGGGAGCAUUCAUGCCUCAUCCCUGACCACCAUGCUAGACUGGGAGGAGGAAGAGCAGGAAGGAAACAGGGAGUCACCACCUUUUCGUUUGAAGUUAUGACCCUGCUCCAAAAAGCAUGUGAGCUCAAACAAGGACAAGCCAGCUGAGGCCAAAGAGCAAAAUAAGGAGGUGUCUCUCUCGUCUAGUUCAAUCAUCAAAACAGGGUCCUGGGGUUAAUUUAUGCAUUUCUGCAGUAACACUGGUCUGGGAAAAGUUAUCAGAAGCCAGGAAAAAGUGCCUACAGAUCCCUAUGUCUCCUUCCUUUUAGCUCACACUAGUGCCACACAUUUGCCAUCCUUUCCAGUAGGGCACAAACUCACCUAGUGAGGUGAUGAAUGGUUCCCUUUCGUUUUGCAAUCCUCCUGAGCAGCUGGGAGACUCUCCUGGUAGUUAGGAGGUGUUGAUGUAAAUGCCUUCGAGUUAAAAGGCAAUUCUUCAAUCCCUGGGUCACAGUACUGAAGGUAAGCACUCUACCAAAUUCUGCUGUGCCUACAGCAGAAGACCCUGACUUGUUGGCUUGGAGAGGUUCCACUCAGCAGGACCUCUCUUAGAGCUGCUCCAUCUACUUCCUAGACCACAAAGAGGACACAGGUUCCCAGGUGCCCAGUUUGGGGCAAUUCUGAACACUUCUCUCCAGAAACAGAUUAACAAGAGUUCAGGUGGCUGCUCAGAGGAGUUUUUCAGAACUGCAUUUUUAGUUUACCCACACUAUUUUCCUGGUUCUCAGUGUUUCAGGUUACAUUUAUACAGUUAAGUGUAGUUACAGAGUUGGCAACAUCCAGCAGGACUUUAAGUGGCCAUGGACUUUAAGUAGUUCUGGCCUAGUUCUAGUUCAUAGCCCAGCUCUUCUCAAAGCAACCCACUCCCCAGCAUAAACUAUUCCACAGACUUUCUGCAUGGAAGAUUUGGUCUCCUAAGGAGAAGCUGGUGUAUAAUUUACCCAUCCCUGCUGUAUUUGUGACCUCUAAGGAGGGAGGGUGGUAGGGUUUGGUGCAAAUGUAUGCCUGCAGCACAUAAUAGAACAGAACACAUUAGGUGUGCAAACACAUGCUUAGAAGCAAAUAAAGGCCACAUCUCCUCCCAAACAGAAUGGUUUGGACUUGACACCAAACUUGCUCCUGGGUUCAAAGGCAGUAGAGGAGCAGCCUCUGACUUUUUGGUGUCUCUUUGCAAAACAGGAGUCACAGAACUUUGUUUUCUCAGAGGGCAGCCGUGAAGAAAAAUGCAUUUUAAUCCAGAGUGCCAUUUAUUGUGGCAACAUGCCAAAACACAGAUCUAAAAAGGGAGGGUGAACUUUUUGAAGAGUCAUCCCAUCCUAGGUAUUUAGCAAUUGGAAUGAAGUAAGCCUUAAGAAAACCAGGUGUAAAGGAAAACAGUCAAAGGAAUUUAAUUUAAAAAGCAGUUCCUUCUAGACUGCACAAGCUUUAGUGUGUUCUUAUUAGUGCUCCAGUAUUUGACUAAAUGCAUUCUCUAGUAAAGUGCUCUUUUGUGACAUAGAGAAACUGGAAACUUUUAAAAGUAAAUAUAAUAUAUUUUAGAUCUUAUAUACUAGAAAGAACAUGAAUACAAUUACUAGAUAUUGUAUUUUCAAAAAUAAUUCUGCUGGAGGAUGUCAUCUGCAUAUGGCUAUAGAAGUCCUUAUCUGGUUUAAAAAAAAAAAGGAAGUUGAUAAAUCAUGAAGGAAGGAAAUACUGAGGUUUAAAACAGCCACAAAUUUGUUUUUCUUCAGCUUAUCAUUUUGAAAACUCAACUGCUGUAAUUCUGGAUGAGUUGCCAGAUUGUUUCCUUCAUAAUUCUGCCUCUCUCUUAUCCAUUCUUUAGGGAUCAAAAACAAGCAUAUUAACUUCGGGCUGUGAACACGCAAAUCAAACAAACACAUUCCCCUAACUUUGGGCUCUGAUUAAUUCCACUGGUAGCCUUUGACCUUGAUUUCCACAAUGUCUUGCAGUGCAUAAAGAAGCCUGACCUGGUAUCAGAAAACUGCAGAGAUUUGGUUUGGAAAAAAAAUAAAGCCAUCCUCAUCGCUAUUCCCUAAGUACUACAUUAAAAUCUAUAAAACAAAGGGCUGAAAUCUGAAGUUUAGGCCUUGGAGCCAGUUUCACAAUCUGUUUCCUGUAGCCAGAGUUCAUUUGGAGCCAGUGGAAAAAACAGCUUCUAAAAGAUAAAAGGCAGUGCUGUGACUUUCAAUCAAUCUUGGCAUUCAGUGUGUGAACAUAGCUGUACCAAAGUCUAAAACACCAAAGCUCCAGCUCUGAUUCUGGUUCAUUCUUCUGAUCUUGGAUGUAUGUUGUCAUUGUCAGAGACACCCUACAACUCAUGAUGGGAAAAAUAAGAUCUAGCCGACUUCAGGAGAUCAAAAUCUGGAUAGAAAUAAAGCAAACAGAUGUGACAUGCCCAUUCAUGGAAAAGUGGGAGACCAUAACGAGUGACAACAGAAUGGGAUGGGAAGCUGAAGUGGCACCUAAUGUAAAAAACAGAAGAAACAAACAACAUAAAAAGCACAGACAGAACUAUUUUCUUUGAACCCAUCAGUUGUGGUGGGCGGAGGCCUGGAGUGCUUAGAGAAGUCAGGACUCCUGUUUAUUACAGGUAGUGCUGAUUUCAGCAGAUGCAUUGUUCACCAGGGUGCCAAAGGCCUGGAGGAAGCAGCUGCGCGAAGCAGCCCAGGCCUGUCCACCCCGCUGAACAAUGGCAACGCAGCCUCCUUGCAGAAAGGGUUUUAUGGGGAAAAACAGCCUGGUCUUCCUUCAAAGGUACAGGUAAAUGCAAGUUUAAAGAAACUGUUCCAGAAAACAAAGGGAUGGCAGAUUUCUGUAAAGAAAUCAGAUUCUUUACAAAGAAGAGAGCUGGCGAUGGAUGGUGUUGGUGAGCCAGCCCAGGCUCUGUUCCUGGACUCAGAAGUGCUUUCUGUGCCUUUCUGGGGCGUAAGAGUAGCUCAUUCUGCAUUUACAUUCAGUUCUGACAUCUGAAUUUUAGAGUGGGAAAUGUGUUUGUGAGAAGCAAAAAAUAAUUAUGCGAGACCUUAUGUAGGCUCAAUGUCCUGUUUCUAAUUUACUCCCAAGUAUUCUUUUGCCUUUCUGUGUACUCAAAAUUUUAGUUUCAUGAUUGUUUCAAUGUGACAGCUGCAAACACUUGUUUUCUUCUCCUCUUCUCUGCCAAGAGGUGAACUGGAUCAAGGAACUGACUUGGCUGAAAAUGAAAAUUUAUCGUUAAAAGCACCUUUUUUUUUUUCUUUU